UGAGGAAUAUUGCACAAUGGGCGCAAGCCUAAUGCAGCAACGCCGCGUGCGGGACGACGGCCUUCGGGUUGUAAACCGCUUUUCUGAGGGACGAGCGAGGACGGUACCUUAGGAAUAAGUCUCGGCUAACUACGUGCCAGCAGCCGCGGUAAAACGUAGGAGGCGAGCGUUAUCCGGAUUUACUGGGCGUAAGGCGCGCGCAGGUGCCGUGUAAGUUGGACGUGAAAGCUCCUGGCUUAACUGGGAGAGGUCGUUCGAUACUGCGGGGCUUAAGGUUGAGAAAGGGAUGUGGAAUUCCCGGUGUGGUGGUGGAAUACAUAGAUAUCGGGAGGAACACCUGAGGCGAAGGCGGCACCCUGGCCCACACCGGACACUGGGGUGCGAAAG
rnacentral:rRNA from 1 species